CUACGGACUUGAUUGUAUUGAGCCUUGGUAUGGAAACCUGCUAAGUGAUAACUUCCAAAUUCAGAGAAACCCUGGAAUGAAAAAUGGGCAAUCCUGAGCCAAAUCCCUUUUUUGAAAAACAAGUGGUUCUCAAACUAGAACCCAAAGGAAAAGGAUAGGUGCAGAGACUCAAUGGAAGCUGUUCUAACGAAUCGAAGUAAUUACGUUGUGUUGGUAGUGGAACUCCCUCGAAAUACUAGAAAGAAGGGCUUUAUACAUUUAAUACACACGUAUAGAUACUAACAUAGCAACGAUUAAUCACAGAACCCCUAUCAUAUAUAGGUUCUUUAUUUUAGAUUUUUUUUUAGAAUGAAAUUAGGAAUGAUUAUGAAAUAGAAAAUUCUGAAUUUUUUUAGAAUUAUUGUGAAUCCAUUCCAAUCGAAUAUUGAGUAAUCAAAUCCUUCAAUUCAUUGUUUUGAGAUCAAAAGUGGAUUAAUCGAACGAGGAUAAAGAGAGAGUCCCAUUCUACAUGUCAAUACUGA
rnacentral:ncRNA from 1 species